rnacentral:lncRNA from 1 species
UAGAAAUUAACUUAAAAAUUAGUUAUUUAAAGAUGACAAUAGAAGAUUUUGAACUUUGAUUCCCAAAAGGCAAGCAAAUAUUUCUGAAAUAAAAUAUUUUAUAUAUUUAAUUUCUAAUUUAAUUUACAUAUAAAAUAUUUUAAAAAUUCAUAUGAAUUUGAGAUAUUUUCACAUUAAUUGGACUGUUUUUGUACCUCAUUUUGCUUGGUCACACUAAAGUGAGGUUCAUCAUCUUGUGGAACCAAAGGAAAACUAGUGUGAUUAUAAGGAAAUUAUUAUAGUUAGACAACUGUGCAUUAAUUUCAUCAUUAAGGACCAAAUGUAUACAGAUAUAAAUACUUUUCUUAAUACAUUACUUGCAACAUAUGCACAAUUAUGUAACAAUUAUGGUGAACUAAGUCUCCUAGAAAUUUCCAAAAUAAUUUUUUUGCCUUUUUUUAACCUCUAAAUCCAUAUAAAUCAAGGGAAAAUAUUCUUGCACAUAUGUAUAUUUAAACAUGAACCUAGCCAAAAGUAAGAGAAAUUUAAAAAAGUGUAACAUAUCAAAAUGUGGAAAUUUCUGUGUUUAGGGAAAAAUCUAUCCCAUUAAGAGCUUGCAUUAGAAAAGAAAAAUUACCUUGAAAUUAUGAUGAAAGCUUCCAGCUUGUUAUUAUAAAAAUGAGAACAAAUUAAUUCUGAAGCAAUCAGAAGGAAGAAAAUAAUAAAGGUUAAUGAAGAAAUAAACAACAUUAAAUGGAGAAAAAUUAUAUAGCUAAGUAAAUUAAACUAAACUUAGAUCUUUGAAGGGAUCAAUAAAAUUGUUAAAUCUCUGGCCAGACUAAGGAGAAAAUAAUAGGAAAUAAAUAAUUUACAAAUUUUAAGAAUGAUAGAAGUGGCUGGGGGUGGUGGCUCAUGCCUGUAAUCCCAGCACUUUGGGAGGCCAAGGCAGGCAGAUCGUUUGAGGUCAGGAGUUCCAGACCAGCCUGGCCAACAUAGUGAAUCUCUGUCUCUACUAAAAAUACAAAAAUUAGCCGAACGUGAUGGCUCAUGCCUAUAUUCCCAGCUACUCGAGAGGCUGAGGCACAAGAAUUGCUUGAAGCUGGGAGGUGGAAUUUGCAGUGAGUGGAGAUCAGGCCACUGCACUCAAGCCCGGGCGACAGAACGGGACUCUGUCUCAAAACAAAUAAACAAAAAAAAAAGAAUGAUAGAAGUAACAUUUCCAUUGUCCUACAACAGUUUAAGGAUAACUAAAUGAAUACCAUGAUGAAAUUUAUAAAUGUAAAUUAGUUAAUUUAGAUUAAAUGUACAAAUCCCUCAAAAGAGACUAACUACUAAGGCAAACUCAAAAAGAAAGCAAUAACAUGAACAUCCCUAUAUAUAUGUUUUAAAUUUAUUAAUACCCACCUAGAUAAACUAACUGACAAAUUUUACUAAUAUUUAAGGAGAUAUAAUUUAUACUUUACACAAAACUUUAAGAAAUAAAAAAGAGGAAACACUUUUCAACAUGUUUUAUUAGUCUACCAUUAUCCCCAUACCAAAACCUUAAAAAAGACAUUACAAGAAAAUGUCCUGUAGACAAAUAUGUAUUUAGAUGAGGAAUUUAGAUUUCAAAAACUUCAGCAAACUAUUAUCCAAUUAAAUCCUCUCAUGUCUGUGUGUGUAUGUGUGUGCAUGCAUGUGUGUUUGUAAAAUAUAUCAUUACUAAUUGGCGUUUAUCUUGGGAGUUCAAGAUGGUUUCCAUAUUCAAUCAACCCAUCAAUGUGGACUAUGGUCAUUUGAAAAGACCAGCAAAUCCUCUACACAAAAGGCCACUAUAAAUUCAUUAAAACAGCCUUCCAUCACUCUCGAAAUUGACCAAAGCAUUCAACUACCUGAAAAAUAUUUAUGUUUGGAAAGCUAUUGAAAUGCAGUUAAAAAUAUCAGGAAACCUGUUUUUACGUUUUGUCCUGAUCUUGCUAAAUCCUUCUUAAUUUUGUGAGACACUGCUUCUCCUUCCACUGUUCCUUUACUUUCUCCUUCCCCUUUGUUUUUGCCUCCCCCUUCCUCUCCCUUUUCUACAUUCCUUCUCUCUCCUAAAUGCUGUAUAAAUUUCUACAUAUAUAAUCAUAUUAUUUACAAAUAGGAACAGUUUUACUUAUUUCUUUCCAAUCUGCAUUUAUUUUAUUCUCCCUUUUUUUCCUUACACACUGGAUAGAACUCUAAGUAUUAUGUUGAAAAAGAGUGAUAAAAGCAAACAUUUUUGCUUUAUUCCUGAGCAUACAUGUGGAAAACAUUCAGUGUUUCACAGCUAAAUAUGAUGGAUUUUUUUGUAUGCUCUUUAUCAAGAUGAAGGAAUUUUCUGCUAUUUCUGGUUUGCUGAAUUUUUAUCACAAGUAACUGUUGAAUAUUGUCUUUUUCCCCUGCAUUUAUUGAAAUGAUCAUGUGUUUUCCUAUUUUAGAAUAUUAAUAUGGUGAACUAUAUUAUUAGAUUUUUUUAAAUAUUGAAACUGUCUUGCAUUUCUGGAAUAAACACGGCUUGGUCAUGUGUGUCACUUUUUUACAUAGUGUCGUAUUCAAGUUAUUGAGGAUUUUGCAUCUAGGGUAUACUUGUAGAUUUGCAGAUUUGCAUCUAGGUUAUGUUGGUCUAAAGUUUUGUUUGUUUUUUUUCCUUUUCUUUUUUUAUCAUCUUUGUCUUAUUCUGUUUAAGUGUCAUGCUUGCUUCAUAAAAUGAAUUGAGAAACAUUUCUUCCUCUUCUGUUUCUCGAAAAUUGUAGAGAACUCUUGUUUUUUGUUGUUGUUUGUUUGUUGUUUUGUUUUUUUCUUAUUUUUAUCCUCAUACUGAGAACCAAAUAGUCUGGAGUGUAAAAUAUGGUUCCUCAUUCCAGUUAAGUCUAGUACACAAUGACAACAACCAUCUUGGGUUAAGCAUUGGCCUACAAACAGAAAAAAACCUUCAGGGAGAUAGAUGCUGAUCUAGGCAUUGUGAGAAAAGCUGAAUUCAUUUUUAAUCAUGAAUGGCUUUUAAGGAAAGAAGAUUUAUUAACUAAAAUAAAUAGAUUAGAGGGAAUUCUCAUCUAUGAGAGAGGAAGGGAUGGGAUUCAACCUGGAAAAAAUGAUGAAGUUUUAGUGAACUGGGUAAGGUAGACUCAACAAUUAAUGAUGGAUAAUGCUAGGACCCAGCACCGGUAAUGAGCUUGUAUUAUGACUCAAUAGCAUCACUUUAUCACUUUAACGCAGAUGGAGGCCUAAAUAACCAUAGGGCAAUGGUUCUUCUUAGAUGCAGAAGGACACAUUUAUAUAAUCUUAGGGACCCCAUCUCUGAGGUCACUCAUAAUUUAUAUUAAUUCAUUAUUAUUGCCAUUGCCCCAAGAAUAGAUAAGGAUAAGACAUCCUGUAGCACAGGUAGCAGAGAUAUAAACUAUUCUUAUUCUUGUGUCUUGUCUAUAGGAAGGGAGUGUAUCCUGGUGUAUGACAGCAUAUAGUAGAGACCAGUGUCAAUUAGGGCCUGUGAACUGAGACAGGGUGACUGGCUAAGUCCACAACCCAUUAGAAACCCAGAAAUAAUCAAAUCAUGAGGGAUCAUGGAAAGGAAGCUGAAUUUGCUGAGUUUUGCCACGUGGGCAUUGCAUGCCUAUGUGAUUAACCACCAAUAAAAACCUGGGACAUCAAAAAAUAAAUAAGCUGCUUUAAUUGCCAAGAAUUCACAUGUGGUUGUAUGCAGCAUUACUGGGAGAUUGAAGUGUAUCUGCAUGUGAUUCUACUGUGAUGGACACUUGUAAAUUUGUGCCUGGAGUCUCCUGGAAUUUGCCCUGAGAAUCUUUUUCCUUUGUUGAUAAGAAUCUGCAUCCUUUUGUUUUAAUAAACGAUAAACAUGAGUAUAAUUGCUUCUCUGAGUUCUGAGAGUUUUUUAAAUAAAUAAUCAAAGCUGAAAAGCAAUGGAGACCCCCACCAAAACAUCUUUACACAUUUCAAUUUUGUAUUGAAGUAAAUUUUAUUUUCUUUUUUAUACCUCCCGUAUAUAUUCUAUUUUUCUCAUUAUUAUUUAUUUAUCCCAAAUCUUUUAUCUGUGAUCAUUUUCCUUUGUUUGAAAUUUGUCUUUUGAGAUUUCUUUAGAAGGUGCUUUUGGAUGAUAAAUUUUCUGUUAUUCUUUGUCUAAAAUGUCAUUAUUUUGACUCAUUUAUAAAAGGAGUUUUUGUGUUUUAUAAACCUCUAAUGUAUAGAAGUGUGUCUAAACUCAUUGAGGAUAUUUUCCAAAUUUUUUCCUGCUUUUUAUUGCUGUUGAUAAGAAAUCAGUGUUGGUAUUUUGACAUUUAAGUUAUGUGUCAUUUUGUUGUGGUAGUUCUGAAGAUCUUCCCUCUGUUUUAUAUUCUCCUUCACCUUUCAUAAAUGUACUUUAUAUUUAUUUGGUAAUAAAUUUUGAACAUAUACUAUGCUAUAAAGAUAAUCUAGGCCCUUUGGUUACAUCUCGUAAAUAAAAUCAACAAAAUCUGUUUUGAGAUUAUAUUGUAAUAUAAGAUACCCAAAGUAAAUAGGAUAUGUACCAUAUGUUUGAAGGUGGUAAAUACGAUGAGAAAAAUAGAUCAGGUCAGGAAGAAUGAAGAUGAUUGAAGGUACAGGUUAUGAUAAAAACUUAGGUGUGCCGAGGAAUGAAUUCAUCUUAUGUAUCUUGAGUGUAAUGUCUUAUUUCUCCUGAAUCUGAGAAUUUGAUGUCUUUCAUUAGGUAUGUCAGUGAAUUUCACUAAUG